AAGAAUGUACAAGAAUUAAGGCCCAACUAAGGCCAUAAACAAUCACUACUCACAUGAAAUAGCCUCAUAUACAAUUCAACAAUGAUAUUAUAAACCUCGAAUUGUUACUGUUACUAAUGCUACAACAUGAACUUCGAUCAUUAAACUAUUAUCAAACCAUAUUAACGCACACACGAUCUGUUCUAUCAAAUUAAAACCCAGGAAACAUAUACAUGCUGAAUAUUGUAUUUUAAACAUAUUGAACCCACAUUUCAUAUACCCCACAACAGUAAUCUUUCAACUCCUUUCUAAAGAACAUUUCCCAUUACACAUAUCACCUUCAAAUACAUCUUAUGAUAAACCAUAGUAUUAACAGAUUGAAACUUCAAAAAAAAUUCCAAAGCAAUUUAGGAGGCACAAACACCUCCCACCCCUUACAAUGUAGUUUAAACUCAAAACACACAUCUAUCAUGGACCAAUUUUAGCUUACUUCUAAUAGACUACAAAACAGAAUGGGGAGGGGAACAGAGUACAAUAAAUUCCAACAACAUGGAAUCGAUCUCCAGCAAAGCAAACAGGCAUCAAUUGAAUAUUAACAACCAACAAACUCUAAAGCUUCACGUGUAUUAUUCAUAUGCCAUAGGGAUUCAACUUACAUUCCUGGUUAUAAACGAACAAAGCAAAGGAGUAAAUUUUUAAACGUGACAAGAGCUAAAUAAGCAAUAGAAAAGCAACAACAAAAUACAACAAUAAUCAACACCAGCUUCAGAUUAAACCAUUUUCUUGACUCCAAAACCGCCAGAAAUCUAAAGAAUGGUUCUUCUUAAAAUUUUGUGGAAAAAAAGGAAAGAGUGAAACGUUGAAAACAAGUAUCAAUAUUUUCAGAGAAGAGGUUUCAGCUGUUUGCUAUUUUUUAGCAUUGUGAUCUCUGCCAGAAAAUGAAUGAAACAUGCCUUAUAUAGUAAGAUCUUAGGGCAGCAGUACCUGAUUCUAUUCAUUCAAAAUUACCCCUCAUAAAUUCCCAUUUUGUUCAAUUUAAACCCUGAAAUUUUAAACCUAUUUGCUGAACUACCCAAUCCCCACCUUCCUGGAACCUUCCCAAAUAGUUAGGAAAGAUUCCCCCUAUCCAAUUUCCUAAACUACCCCUCAAAGGUUUGGUAAUUACUUCAAACAAACCAUAUAUUUGAAACAGACUGCCCCAAAUCCUCUUGGGCUUCUGCAUUAGCAAACUUCAACAAGCUCUUUGGCCUUCUUGCACUAGCAAACCCAAAUCCAAGUCUAAUCAAAUGAAUUCACAAGAAUGUUCAAACUAACCCAAUUCUGAAUCCUACUGAUAUGAGAUCUUCUAACGAAGCAGAAUAGAAGAGAAGAAGUAAAAGGAAAAAGGAAAAUUAACAAGUGCUAACAAAGAGUUUAAUUGCUUCUUAACCUAUUAUUAUAACCGAAUUAAAUGAAUGAAAAAUCUAUGAUUUCUAAACCCAACCGAGAUGAAGAGGAAUAGAAGGAUACCGAUUAAAGAAAGGGUGGAAGAAAAAGGAAGGAACAUAGAAGAAAAAAUUACAGAAAUAGGUAGAGGAAAAAAUAAAAGAAAGUGCCUAGUAGUUGACUUAAAUAAACUUCGGUUGCUCCGAUUUACCCAAAACUAAUGUUAGUUGCAUGUUCUUUGACAAGAACAAUGAACAACAUCAAUUUCACGUUAAAUCAGCACUAGAACUUGAAGGCUUGAAUCCUAACUUUGCACGCCACAAAUCCGAGGUCAGGGUAAAUUUGUAGCUUUAAGUUUCGGGUGUUGAUUUUAGAUCCAAAAUAAGAGCGGAUUGAGAGGGAUUCGAGAGAAAUCAUUUUUGGGGUUUAGGAAGAAGAGAUGCCGGGGAUUAUGGGGUGUAAUUUUGGCGGCGGUUUGGGGUUGCACCGCCGGCAGAGGGUUUCAAGGAGACGUCUCUAGGGUUUUUGCAGAGAAUGUAAAGUGAGGAGAUGGU
rnacentral:lncRNA from 1 species